UUUUUCUCAAUAAUUCACUUUGACUUUGUUGUAUUUGGUUUGCAUAUGAAGAGGAAGGAAUAUUUCUCAGAAUCUUUAUCUUUAUCUUUUUUCUUAUCCACGCACACAGAGUCAGACUCGGUGCGGAUGAACCAACCGCUGCACUCGGCUGACUCGAAGCGACGGCAGUCGUCCUUUGUGCGCGAGAGGUAGAAGACAAAAGGCCAGGUCCACCGAGCUGCCACUGCUGGGCUCCUGAGCAAGACCCAUUACCAUAAAUGACAUCAUGUGGCCCAGACCCAGAGGAUGCAGCAAUGUUGUCUCUCCUGGACAGCCAGCUGUGGAUAUCUGUGUUAUCUUGCAGUCUACAAAUUCUCUUUUGUUUCAUUACUUGCAUUUCUAUUUAUGACAUUUUCACUUAUCCAGAGUGACUUCCAUUUAAUGUACACAACUGAUCAGUUGUGGGUUUAGGGCUUUGCUUAAGGACCCAUAGUUUGGUGGUAAUUUGAUUUGAACUUUGCAAAGCCAUUUUUCAUUUGUUUUUCAGCAAAAUUUCAAAGCUUUGUUCACUGAGAUGUAUGUGAUCACUGUGGCCACAGUGGCUUUAAUGACCUCUCACCUCUCAGCUCAUCAAGUGCUCC